GUUGUGUAGCUCAGUGGCAAGGCAUCUGCCUUGCACCCAGAAGGCCACAGGUUCAAUCCCAGCAUAGAAUCA